UACGGAGGGUGCGAGCGUUGUCCGGAAUCACUGGGCGUAAAGGGCGCGUAGGUGGCGCGGGCAGUCAACGGUGAAAGUUCGGGGCUCAACCCUGAAUCGGCCGUCGAUACUCCCGUGCUUGAGCACUGUAGAGGCAGAUGGAAUUCCGGGUGUAGCGGUGGAAUGCGUAGAGAUUAGGAAGAACACCAGUGGCGAAGGCGACUUACUGGACUGUAACUGACACUGAGGCAUGAAAGCGUGGGGAGCAAACAGG
rnacentral:rRNA from 1 species